rnacentral:rRNA from 1 species
GGCACUCUGGUGAGAUUGCCGGUGACAAACCGGAGGAAGGUGGGGACGACGUCAGAUCAUCAUGCCCCUUAUGACCUGGGCUACACACGUGCUACAAUGGUCGGUACAACGAGUCGCAAACCCGCGAGGGCAAGCUAAUCUCUUAAAGCCGAUCUCAGUUCGGACUGUAGGCUGCAACUCGCCUACACGAAGUCGGAAUCGCUAGUAAUCGCGGAUCAGCAUGCCGCGGUGAAUACGUUCCGGGGCCUGUACACACCG